CUCCCAGUCCUUUCUUCUUGUGGAAAGCUCUCUCUCCCUGUCCUGUCCCCUCGUUUGUCACGUCCUGUGUCACGGGUGUCUGCACGUAUUUGUCCCGGAGCUGCUCUGCCCUGCUGCAUAGCCUGUAAUAGCACAAGUCCUGGGGACUUGAAAUUGGUAAUGCAGGGUGCAGCUGGGCUCCAAAUUGUAUUAGGAGAUUACCAGAACAUGUUUGGUGGUGUUGAGUUGUCCUGCAGCUGUUUGACAUUAGUCCUAACUUCCUUUCAGAUGCAGACAGUUCAAAUCAGUGCCAGAGGGCCACAGUCCUGGGUGGAGAACUUCCCAUGAGCUGGUCAGUCAUUGUUUGCAUUUACAGGGGAAGCAGCCUAAGUGGUGACUCUGUUACAGCGGUGUUCUUUGCCUUUAUUUUUAGGAGGUCCAGGCAGAUAGCAGCAGUCAAGGCCCAGUGUGCCAGGGAAUCCACUGGGAGUUUGCAUAUCCCCUGUCAGCAGCUGGCUGAUGGACUGGGUUUGCUGUGCUUGUGAGUCCUCUGGAAGUAUUACAGGACCCUGUGAUGAAGCCUACUGAUUUUGCAUUUCAAGGUCCCAUCCUGGUAACCCAGAGCAGUGGCCAAGGAGUUGUGGUGAGUCAGGGAGGUAGGGAGGAGGAGUGAGAGUCCACUCAAGUUUCAGCAAUGCCAUGUCACCCUUUCUCCACUUAAUCUAGGUGUACCCUGAGAUGAUGCUGUCGGCCUCCAAGCACGCCUGCGGUGUGUGGCCCGACCAUUCUGAGGAGAAUGGUGAGUAGCAGAAUUGUCAGGUUUUGGCCAUUGUGCUGUUACGGUUGUGCACUGAUGUUUGGUUUUCUUUGUCUUGGCAGACCAAGAGAGAACAGUCUGGUGACAACUGGAGUUUCCCAGACAGGCAGGAGGCCUCGUUCUGCACCCGAUGGAGAUUUGGAUCCCCAGAUAUAUGCCAGAUAAGUCAAGGGCUACAACCCACAGAGGGCAUGGAAGCGAGGUGCCAGGUUGGGAGUCCCCAGGAGGGGUUUUUGAGUCAGUUUUGGAUACGGGGAUGUCUAAGAAGCGUCUCCUUAGGCCAGCUGAAGGGAAAGUGUCUGUUUUGAUCUCAGUGCUGAGGUGCGCAGGGCAGAGCA